CACUUGUUGAUAUUUCAAUGACAUCUUUUGCCAUUCAGCAGCAGGGGGUAAGGGUGAAACGGUGCGGUAAGAGCGCACCAGUUUUCCAGGUGACUGGAAAAGCUUGGUAAACCCCGUCCGGUGCAAGACCAAAUAGGGAAGUGUUUGAGGGCUGCCCGUCCAAGCUUCCGGGUAGGUCGCAUGAGGUGUGCGGCAACGUACAUCCCAGAUGAAUGGUCACCACCCUGUUUCGGGGUAACCUGAACAGGGAACAGAAUUCGGCUUA
rnacentral:misc_RNA from 1 species